UGAACAAAGAGAAGUUCAAGACAGACUUAGAGUAAGUAUUCAUGGCUACUUCCCGCUGUCCAAAAUGCUCCUACGGUCUUAUAGAUGCUUUUGCUGAACAGUUUUGGAUGAAGGAAUAAAUAAGGUAGAAUAGAAUUAGCAUUUUCUUCUGCAAGCAAAAUGAAUAAAUUUUACUUUUUUGCAUUCCAGCAGAAUCAGAUAAGAUGUGACUAUGUUUCCCUCUAUACUAGGUUAGAAAGAGACAGGAUGUCGAAAAUCCUGUUAUGGUUUCUCGAGUUGCAUUUAAUGGCUACAAUAUUAAAGACAAGUUUAUCCUUUGCACAUUACUCUAUGGCUUGCAUUAGGUUAUGAGAUGGAAUGAAUUUUUUUUGUACAACUAACAAUAAAAUUAAAAAGUAAUGGUAGCGAGAAGUUAAUUAUGUUAAUUUUCUUUCUGUUAUUUCCCUCCAUAACUAACAAUUUUUUUCAAGAAAAAUUCCCAGCAAGGCAAAAAUGUUUUCAAGUUGAGUCUUGAUAGCCAUGCCAAUUUAGAAUUUUAAAAGCGUACGGAGAAGUUAAUUUCGUUAAACACAUGAUACAACCGCAAGUUAUCGAGUGACUUCAUAUGUUAAUUAUUUGUCCUCUUCUUUUCUUCUUUCGUUUCCUUUGAAGUUGUCUAUUGGUCAUUCGUUUCGUUCAUCAAGCAGAUUACAGGUGAUAUGAACUUUGCUUCGAUGAGUGCUUUAUUUAGUUUGAGUUGAUGAUUUAGGAUAAUUGAAAUAGAUUUUUUUGUUGCAGGCUUCGAAGUUCACAGUGGCUUCAGUUCAAGCCUUUAUAAGAUUAUUGCAUAUAUAUCAAAAUCUAUGAACAUAGAGUUGCCUUCACUUCAUGCUGGGUGGAAAGAGUUCCAAAGACCACGUAUGUUAUGUUGUAAGGAUUAGUGAAGUACAUGAUUAGUGAUGGUCAAUAGUCAUUUUUCUACUUUUAUAAUUUGUAUGAAAUAAAUUUGAAAAUUGUUGACAUAAAGAGUUGUGGAGCCA
rnacentral:lncRNA from 1 species